CAGCCCUUUGCUAACAGAGACUGUAAUGCACUCAAUUUACACUUGCAGGGAACAACUACAAGGACAACCAAAGAUAUAAUUAAUGUGAAAUAAGUAUUCCUCAGCAGAACAGUCUUAGGGAAUUGAUGAAGCUGAAGAAAACUACUUUUCCCCAGUUACUCUCAGAGGGAAUUUCAAAGCAAUGGAAAAUAUUCAGGGAAGUACUCAAAUAUAAGAAGACAUAUUAGAAAGAGCUUACCCUUAACUGAAAGUGAACCAUUCAAAUCCUGUAAACCUAGGGAGAAUGAAAGAAGAUAGAUUGAGAAAUUAAAAAUGUCAACCAGAGACAAAAGAUAAAGGAUUGAAUCAUGAGUCUUCCACUGUUUGGUUUCUGAAGGAUCUGGAAGAAAUUACAGGAGUGACAGUUGUGAGAGGGACGUACUCCAGAUUGGAGGGGCUGGUUUGUGCUUUGUUACCACAUUGCCUCUUCCUAGCAGAAUGGAUGUGCUAGUGGCAUUCCCGGAUUUCUUGAGCUCUCAUGCUAACUCUGAGUCAGCUUUCACCUGGCUGGGUGCCCACCUGCAUAAUUCCAGAUGUG